rnacentral:rRNA from 1 species
UACAGAGGGUGCAAACGUUGCUCGGAAUUAUUGGGCGUAAAGCGCGUGUAGGCGGCUUGUUAAGUUGGUUGUGAAAACCCAUGGCUCAACCAUGGAAGGGCGUCCAAAACUGGCAAGCUAGAGUCCCGACGAGGAUGGCGGAAUUCCCAGUGUAGAGGUGAAAUUCGUAGAUAUUGGGAGGAACACCGGUGGCGAAGGCGGCAUCCUGGACCAAUUCUGACGCUGAGGAGCGAAAGCCAGGGGAGCAAACGGG